rnacentral:rRNA from 1 species
UACACUCCUACGGGAGGCAGCAGUGGGGAAUAUUGGACAAUGGGCGAAAGCCUGAUCCAGCAAUGCCGCGUGAGUGAUGAAGGCCUUAGGGUUGUAAAGCUCUUUUACCCGGGAUGAUAAUGACAGUACCGGGAGAAUAAGCCCCGGCUAACUCCGUGCCAGCAGCCGCGGUAAUACGGAGGGGGCUAGCGUUGUUCGGAAUUACUGGGCGUAAAGCGCGCGUAGGCGGCUUUGUAAGUUAGAGGUGAAAGCCCGGAGCUCAACUUCGGAAUUGCCUUUAAGACUGCAUCGCUAGAAUCGUGGAGAGGUGAGUGGAAUUCCGAGUGUAGAGGUGAAAUUCGUAGAUAUUCGGAAGAACACCAGUGGCGAAGGCGACUCACUGGACACGUAUUGACGCUGAGGUGCGAAAGCGUGGGGAGCAAACAGGAUUAGAUACCCCUGUAGUCCCAUGA